rnacentral:misc_RNA from 1 species
UACGGAGGAUCCAAGCGUUAUCCGGAAUCAUUGGGUUUAAAGGGUCCGUAGGCGGUUUUAUAAGUCAGUGGUGAAAUCUCCCCGCUCAACGGGGAAACGGCCAUUGAUACUGUAAGGCUUGAAUUAUUAGGAAGUAACUAGAAUAUGUAGUGUAGCGGUGAAAUGCUUAGAGAUUACAUGGAAUACCAAUUGCGAAGGCAGGUUACUACUAAUGGAUUGACGCCGAUGGACGAAAGCGCGGGUAGCGAACAGG